UGCCCAGCACACUUUCCUCUGCAGAUAUCUUUUUGGCAAAACCGCUACUCUCUUUCACCCACUCAUUCCUCUGCUAUGGUCUCAUCCUCACUUCCAUCCUCUAGCCAGUUCUCCUUACUUGACGUCAAUAGUGCUAUUAACACCCUAUGCUCAAUUUUAACAUAUUGUCUAGAAAGCAUCUGUCCCCUCUUAUCCAGGCCGGCCCAUGCUAACCUCUCCAGCCCCUGGCUAUCUGAUGUUCUACGUGAACAUCGCUCUAAACUCAGAGCAGCAGAGAGGAAAUGGAGCAAAUCAAAAGAUCCGGUUGACCUGAGAAGAAGACCAGAUGAUGGUUCUGAGGAGCCGAGAACAGGAACCAGUUGGUGGAGAAUGCCUCCAGGAGAUGAAGGAGCUUGUUGGCUGCCACCAUGGAAAGACUCUUCAGAUAGGGAGACACUAAACAAGAACAAGGUGCAAUAGUGAAAUCUGGACAGAAGAGAAGAUCAGCCAGAGCCAGUAAGAGAGACUCCGCCAGCGGACGAGCUCCUUCUUCAUCAUCCUCCAUAUCAUCCAGCUAUACAGAGACAAAAACAUCACUACAAAUCAUUUCUACAAUCCAUAAAAACUGAUUCAUUAAGCUCUUGCAACCCCACGUCCACAUGCGUGGACGUUGUAUUUUGGCUUCGCUAUAUGCAACGCAUAAUUUAAAUGAAUUAAAUCUGACUGAAUACUGUUCGUAAGACUCUACACUGUUAUUUAAGGGUUAAAUUCUGGCGCACUGCAUCACGUGACACAACAGCAUGACCUUUAUUUCCAGGAAGCGCUGCUACUGGCGCAGCGCCAACAAAAGUGCCUCUGGUAAGAAACGUCUUUACAUUUUUUGAUUGAAACCUGUUUGGUUGUAAAGAGUAGCGUCUCUAGUUUCGUUUGAUAUGCAGCUUUAAAAAAUCCAUUCAUUUUUCACGCAUCAGCGCGCUGAUAAACAUGAUGUCCACAUAUGUGGAAAUUAGGACCAUGUGCCCUCAAAAGUUGAAAAACUUGUUCAUUAUUUUGAAUCAUUUCUGUGCGUCAGUUCACUUCAUUUCAAUAUAAAUGUUGUUAUUGUUUUAUUUUGAUAUCACUGUACAAUACGGUUCUAUUCAUUAACAUUAGUAAAUUUGUUCCUAUAUAUUUACUGUACAUUAUCACAUUGAGAAUAAAUGUAUUCAUGCAAAAGCUGAAACAACUGCAGACAGACAGCACACUGGAGGUUAAGUCAUUCACUAAAUAGGGAGCAAGGGAGCAUCCUAUAGCUUUCUAUUCAGCUAAGUGCAUUCACUCCUAAAAUCAGAUCAAUAGUUCAGUUUCAGGCUGCAGAUGAUGUUUGGAUCACUCAACAUGUUUGACAGACAUGGGACAAUGAUAAUCAGUACAUAGAUUCAGAAUUUAUAAUGUAUCAUUUUAUUUUAACAUGGAUGGCAGUGAUUGGAUGAUGCUGGACAUUACAUUGAAUCAGAAUUAUUAAUUCAGUUUUAUAGAAAAUCAGCUGUAAUGUCUGUAACAUCUCACAAAACAUGAAAAACCAACACUCCUGGACACAUAAUAAACUAUUUGAUGAAAAAAAUUUGACUUUCUAUAGCUUGGUAUUACUUAAACUUAUUCCAGCUGUCCACAUACGGUUUGUGGACAUACAUUUUUAGGAAAACUAUUUUGUCUAGAAAUUCCUUUUUAUUUGUUUGUUUAGGUGCUACUAGUUACAAAUCAAAAAGGGAAAUGGAAAAUGCAUACAGCAGUCACGCGGGGGUCUCAGGAGGUUAAAGGACUGUUCCAGGGUCAGCAAAAGUGAAGCUCAAUUGACAGCAUUUGUAGAAUAAUGUUGGUUACCACAGGAUUACACCCCUUGUUUAUUUAACGCUUAAAUGCAUACCUUUAGUGACCCAGGACCUCUCUCCUCCACCUUUACCUCAUCCGUUUUUUGGAGUGAUGCCCGCACCUCUUUAGUAUUCCUUAACCUUUCCCUUAUGAAAAGUGUAACAAUAGAAACAUGCCAAAAUUGCAGAAAUAAAUAAAUAAAUAAAUAAAUAAUGUUAAAAAAAAAUCUAAUCAAAUUAAAAAAAAACAUUUUUUAAUUGCUUCAUUAUCAAAAGUGUAUAUGGUUGUUAGUGACCCGAGAUAUGUAAUAGUAACACAUUAUAUAUUUGCGCUUCCACAAAUAAUAUUUUGAUUAUUAUUUCAUAUCCAUAUAAGUUAACUAUCACAGGGUAUCUAUUUUUUGGUUUAUUACAAGACAAGUGAGUGCUAUUUUCAUACAAAUGACAUGACAAUGGUGAAUUAUCAGUAUCCCAUAUGCCUGUACA